rnacentral:lncRNA from 1 species
UACCCAAAGGAAAGAAGGCCAAGGGGAAGAAGGUGGCCUCGGCCCUCUGCUAUCGUGAAAAAACAGGAGGCCAAAAAUGUGGUCAAUUCUUUGUUUGAGAAAAGGCCCGAGAACUUCGGCAUUGGCUAGGACAUCCAUCCCAAAAGAGAUCUCACAGGCACUCAGGUGGCCCUGCUAUAGGGCCUGCUACAGCGCCUGCUACAGGCUGCAGCAGCAAAGAGCCAUCCUCUAGAAGCCGCUCAAAGCACUCCCUGCCAUUAACCAGUUCACCCAGGCCCUGGCAGGCAAACGGCUACUCAGCUGCUUAAGCUUGCCCGCAAGUACAGGCCAGAGACAAAGCAAGAGAAGAAGAAAAGGCUACUGUCCCGUGCUGAGAAGAAAGCUGCUGCCAAAGCGGGGGUGUGUGGGGGAGUGUGUGUGGGGGUGAGGGGUUGUUUCCUCCGAGCAGGAGUCAAAACAGCUUCUACCUUGGUGAAGAACAGGAAGGCUCAGCUGGUGGUGAUUGCCCAUGAUGUAGACCCCACGGAGCUGGUGGUUUUCCUGCCUGCGCCGCGGUAUCGAAAGAUGGAGGUGCUCUACUGCAUCAUCAAAGAGAAAGGCCAGGCUGGGGUGUCUGGUCCAUUGGAAGACAUGCACCACUGUUGCUGUCCCACAGGUUAACUCGGAAGACAAGGGUGCUCUGGCUAAGCUGGUGGAAACUAUUAGGACCAAGUACAAUGACGGAUGUGACGAGAACCGCCGCCCCUGGGGAGGCAUUGUCCUGUGUCCUAAGUCUGUGGCUUGCAUUGCCAAGAAGGAAACGGUAAAGGCUAAAGAACUCGCCACUAAA